rnacentral:rRNA from 1 species
GACGAACGCUGGCGGCGUGCUUAACACAUGCAAGUCGAACGGAAAGGCCCUGCUUUUGUGGGGUGCUCGAGUGGCGAACGGGUGAGUAACACGUGAGUAACCUGCCCUUGACUUUGGGAUAACUUCAGGAAACUGGGGAUAAUACCGGAUAGGAGCUCCUGAUGCAUGGUGGGGGAUGGAAAGUUUCGGCGGUUGGGGAUGGACUCGCAGCUUAUCGGCUAGUUGGUGGGGUAGGGGAUUACCAAGGCUAUGACGGGUAGCCGGCCUGGGAGGGGGGCCGGCCACAUGGGGACUGAGAUACGGCCCAGACUCCUACGGGAGGCAGCAGGGGGGAAUAUUGCACAAUGGGGGGAAGCCUGAGGCAGCAACGCCGGGUGCGGGAUGACGGCUUUCGGGUGGUAAACCGCUUUCGCCUUUAACGAAGCGUGAGUGACGGUAAUGGGUAAAGAAGCACCGGCUAACUACGUG